rnacentral:rRNA from 1 species
CGUGGCAAACAGUACUCUUUAAGUUUGACCUCAAAUCAGGUAGGAAUACCCGCUGAACUUAAGCAUAUCAAUAAGCGGAGGAAAAGAAACCAACCGGGAUUGCCUUAGUAACGGCGAGUGAAGCGGCAAAAGCUCAAAUUUGAAAUCUGGUACCUUCGGUGCCCGAGUUGUAAUUUGUAGAGGGCGACUUUGGGGCGGCUCCUUGUCUAUGUUCCUUGGAACAGGACGUCAUAGAGGGUGAGAAUCCCGUGUGGCGAGGAGUGCGGUUCCGUGUAAAGCGCUCUCGAAGAGUCGAGUUGUUUGGGAAUGCAGCUCUAAGUGGGUGGUAAAUUCCAUCUAAAGCUAAAUAUUGGCGAGAGACCGAUAGCGAACAAGUACAGUGAUGGAAAGAUGAAAAGAACUUUGAAAAGAGAGUGAAAAAGUACGUGAAAUUGUUGAAAGGGAAGGGCAUUUGAUCAGACAUGGUGUUUUGUGCCCCUCGCUCCUUGUGGGUGGGGGAAUCUCGCAGCUCACUGGGCCAGCAUCAGUUUUGGCGGUCGGAUAAAACUAGAGGAACGUAGCUUGCUUCGGGAAGUAUUAUAGCCUCUGGUAAUACGGCCAGCCGGGACUGAGGAACGCGAUUCGUCAAGGAUGCUGGCAUAAUGGUUAUAUGCCGCCCGUCUUGAAACACGG